rnacentral:rRNA from 1 species
GAUGAACGCUGGCGGCGUGCCUAAUACAUGCGAGUCGAGCGAACAGACGAGGAGCUUGCUCCUCUGACGUUAGCGGCGGACGGGUGAGUAACACGUGGAUAACCUACCUAUAAGACUGGGAUAACUUCGGGAAACCGGAGCUAAUACCGUAUAAUAUAUUGAACCGCAUGGUUCAAUAGUGAAAGACGGUUUUGCUGUCACUUAUAGAUGGAUCCGCGCCGCAUUGGCUAGUUGGUAAGGUAACGGCUUACCAAGGCAACGAUGCGUUGCCGACCCGAGAGGGUGAUCGGCCACCCUGGAACUGAGACACCGUCACGACUCCUACGGGAGGCAGCAGUAGGGAAUCUUCCGCAAUGGGCGAAAGCCUGACGGAGCAGCGCCGCGUGAGUGAUGACGGUGUUCGGAUCGUAAAACUCUGUUAUUAGGGAAGAACAAAUGUGUAAGUAACUAUGCACGUCUUGACGGUACCUAAUCAGAAAGCCACGGCUAACUACGUG